UGAGGAAUAUUGCACAAUGGGCGAAAGCCUGAUGCAGCGACACCGCGUGAAGGAUGAAGGUCUUAGGGCUGUAAACUUCUGUUAAGUGGGAAAAAAGACCCGUCUCUAAUAAAGAUGGGGGAUGAUGGUACCACUAAAGAAAGCACCGGCUAACUUCGUGCCAGCAGCCGCGGUAAUACGAGGGGUGCAAACGUUAUUCGGAAUUACUGGGUGUAAAGGGUAUGUAGACGGCACUUUAAGUCAAUUGUUAAAUUCCCCGGCUUAACUGGGGGCAGGCAAUUGAAACUAAAGAGCUAGAGGAUGGAAGAGAGAAGUGGAAUUCUCGGAGUAGCGGUAAAAUGCGUAGAUCUCGAGAGGAACACCGAUGGCGAAGGCAGCUUCUUGGUCCAUUACUGACGUU
rnacentral:rRNA from 1 species